GGUGUGAGGGUCCCGCGGCUAUGGAGUUCCCGGAGCUGGGCGAGCACUGCUCGGAGCGCACUUGCAAGCAGCUGGAUUUCCUUCCUCUGAGAUGCGAUGCUUGUGGGGAGGUCUUCUGUAAAGAUCACAUCCGUUACGAUAACCACAAGUGUAGCUCUGCCUACAAAAAAAAUGUGCAGGUUCCAGUGUGUCCUCUCUGUAAUGCACCCAUUCCAGUACAGAAAGGGGAAAUACCAGAUAUUGUAGUAGGAGCCCACAUGGAUAAGGACUGCAAAUACAAUCCAUCACAGCAAAGGCAGAGGAUCUUCACCAACAAAUGCCUAAAGCCAGGCUGCAAAAGGAAAGAGAUGAUGAAGGUAGUUUGUGAACAGUGUGGUGGCAAUUUCUGCAUAAAACAUCGACAUCCUCUGGAUCACAACUGUAAAGGGAGCAGCCAUCCCACCUCCAAAGCAGGGCAGAUGGACCUUCACUGCUCUGUGCAGAGAGCUGUAAAACUUGUGUGAUGGAUGCAGAUGAACUGGAUGAAAGAGUGAAACUCCUGGUGCUGUGCUGAGCCUGGCUUUAUUUCUUUGUAGGUAUGCAGCCCUGAUGAGAGCCUCUGAAGCUGCCUUGAAGUCAGCGGGAGCAAUUGGAGUGCCAUCUAAUGGGAGCCUUCAGCACAACAGAUCCAGAUAGUGGAGGCUCCUCACACCUGGAUCAAACCUCUACUUCAAAGUUAAUUUUGUCUACAGUUCUUGAUGUAAUCAGAUUUAUUUUCCUAUGCAGUUAAGUUAUUUUUAUAUCAAUGGUUUAUGCAUUCAAUAAACUGUCACUCUUUUCAAGCCAGCUUUGUUUGUUCCUGUAUUUGGAGUAAGAACUUACUGGAAAAUACUUGGAGAGAAAUGGGGCAUGGUGGUAGGAAGACAACUAAAAUUAGCAUGACUUAAAGCUGGCUGUGUUUUGUCCUGUCUGAACCAUGAGUUUCCUAAAGUGAAAGCUUGAAAUACAAGCUACUGUGAUGUCUCAAUUUUGGGAGUGAACUGGCACACAGUUUAGCAUUCUGCUUGAUAAAACAUCAGCAUGAAGCAAGCUUCAUAUAAGCUGCCUCUUGGUUUCUGAAUAUCAUUGGAAGUGUUUGAUUUAUAAUGCCCAUACCUAGUUUUUCUAGGCUUACCUUAAACAAUUCACUGAAGGCUAGUGCUCAGGGAUGUGCACAAUAUCAUUCUUCAUGAUUUAUUGCACCUUAGAGGGGAAUCUAGAUUUGCAUUGGUAUUUUCUUUAGCUGGCAGGGAAAAGGCAGGGGAAAUAGAAUUAACUGUCUCCUGUAAUGAGAAUGAGGCCAAAAUACAACCCUGUCUAGGGAGGCCACUCAUGCUGUCAUUCCACAAAGCUUAAACAAGUGAAGACAUAGCAGAUAUGUUCCAUCUAUUAUUCUGAUCAGCUAUCUUGGCUGUUUAAAACUGCAUGAAUAUCCAGCUGCUUAGCUUGAGGCCUAGAAUAUUGUAGGCUGAUGAAAUGGAAAUGUGCUGUUAAUGAACAAUACUAAUUCCCCAGCUGGGAUCUAAAGAGACCUUUCAUCCAGCUAAUUGUGAGAAAAAUGCCAGGGCUUACUGAUGAUGUCAGGGGGGUCAAGACCUCAAUUUCAUGUGUCAUUGGAACCAUUCCUCUGCACACUGGGGCUGGUGGGUUGGGGUGUUGGGUUAGGACUAACUGAAGGGUAAUUGCAGUCCCUGCAGCUAUGAGUGCACAGCACUGUUCUGCUGAGGUUGGGAGGCUGAGCAGUUUGUGUAGCAGAGAAUGCUGUGUUCCCUGACCUGGGAAAAAU